rnacentral:rRNA from 1 species
GAUGAACGCUGGCGGUAUGCUUAACACAUGCAAGUCGAACGGACUCUUCGGAGUUAGUGGCGGACGGGUGAGUAACGCGUGAGAAUCUAGCUUUGGGUUCGGGACAACCACUGGAAACGGUGGCUAAUACCGGAUGUGCCGAGAGGUAAAAGAGAAAUUGCCUGAAGAUGAGCUCGCGUCUGAUUAGCUAGUUGGUGAGGUAAAGGCUCACCAAGGCAGCGAUCAGUAGCUGGUCUGAGAGGAUGACCAGCCACACUGGGACUGAGACACGGCCCAGACUCCUACGGGAGGCAGCAGUGGGGAAUUUUCCGCAAUGGGCGAAAGCCUGACGGAGCAAUACCGCGUGAGGGAAGAAGGCUCUUGGGUUGUAAACCUCUUUUCUUAGGGAAGAACAAAAUGACGGUACCUAAGGAAUCAGCAUCGGCUAACUCCGUG